UGGGCUCACUGCUUCCUGGCUCCCCGGGAUACCAGCUCUGCCCUUGUAUUUAUAAGAAGAGGAGGAUCCAGGAAGUCCCAGGGCAGAGAAUGGGCGAUCAGCUGUCUUCACCACCCCCAGCUUAUACUCCUCUAGAGUGUAUCCUGAACCACUGGGACUGCUUUGACCCUCAGACUCUGGAGGAAAAUGGCUCAUAGCCCUCUGCACAAAGAAAGAAGAUCGAAGUUACCUGUUAAUGGUCAUGAUCCAAAUGGAAAACUGAGGGAAGACAGCCAGGACCUGUCAGAGAACCCAUGGGAAGAAGCUGGGGCACAAGAAAGGAAAGCAGCAAGAGUCUGGCAGACAUUGACCUAUGAGGAACUUGGGGUCCCAUGGAAAAGGUCAGUGGGAAUGCUUCUCUGCUCCCUUCAUCCCUGCAAUAAACUGCUGACCACUAAGCUGUUGGGGAGCCCCUCUGCCCUCACAACCACAGACAAUUCUGUUGGUGGCAAUUUGGUAACUUUCCAGGGUGAGAGAAUUGGCUGGCCAGCUUGUGCUGGUGGAUCUGCACUCCACUCAGGUCCUACCUGAAACAGCAGAUGCCAUACUUGUUGUUCACCCAUUAUGGGCCACUGCCCUGCCAGGGAACCUCGGCCCUUACGUUGCAUUACCAGAUCCCCUGCAAACAUACUCCAGAACUCACUCUGAAUUUGGCACCCACAGGGGAUCAGUGGGUCCCUGGAGAGCUGUGAGUUCCCCUGAGAUCUAGCCCUCAGUGUGGGCAUCCCUAGGGGAGGAUGCAGUGCAGCCUGUCAAAGCCUCCCUUGGGACAAAGGAAAUGUGGAAAUGGUGUUGAUCACUGAAGGGGGAGGCACUGGUGGCCGAGAAUAGGUGUGGAGAGGGAUCAUUUCCUUCUCCCUCAUCCACUGUUGCAGACACAGCAGAGGCUUUCCCCACUGGAGGCUGGUGCAAGCACACGUGGAGACAGCCUUUCCAGGUGCCACUUGCAGAAGCUGCACCCCCACUGAAAAUAAGCCUGUGCUACCUGGACAUGCACAAAAGUCAGGGCCCAUCUCCCUCUUCCUACACUGAGAAGCAGGCAAUGGAGGGCAGACAAGUCACAGAGCUGGACCGGGGGAAGAGGCUUUGCCCUGAGCCCCUUUCAGUGGUAGCCACCAGAGGGGUUUUUCUGCAGAACUCAGUCACACUGCAGCCAGGAGCCAAAGGACAAUGUCUGUAUGAACUGAAUAUUGCAGGCCCUGUGGCAGGGGCAUGAUAGGGAAGCAGAUUGUGUUCCUGCCUGCCCAGGGUGAUGAGUUGGUGCUGUGACUCUCUCAACCUCACCUGUCCCUACCCCAAGACUUCAGCAUAUCCCAACACGAACUCCCCAACCACCCUCCAUCUGGCAGGUGCCUCUCCUUAUCACUUGGCUACUGAGGGUGAGUUGGCUCUUAUUAAGUGCCACUUACUAGACUGGAGACUGAACUGCUCCACCAAAUAAAAACCCGCUAUCAGAAGGGCAUAGUGCUAGUGUAUGAGAUAAGCUUCCUGAGACUUCCACACUCAGCCCCACAGAAGAUAGUGAGUCAGCUCAUACUCCCAAUACAUUGCUAAAACAAGCAACAUUUUAGAAAAACACUGCACAAAAGCUGUCUAUAACCAAGGAACCUAUACAGAGCCUUGGCCCCCUGAAAGCACCAAGAAAUGAAGCAAAUAAUCACAGCAUACAUGACAGUCAUACCCUCAAGGGAAAAAAAAGAUAAAAUUCCCAUCCAAAUAAUAGCACAUUCAAAAAUAAAAAGCAACAGUACUUUCAGAUGAGGAGGAAUCGGUUCAAGAACUCUGGUGGUAGAAACAGACAGAAUGUUUUGACAGCCCCAAAGGCUCUCACUAGCUUUCUAACAAUGGAUCUCAACCAAAAUGAGGAUUCUGAAAUAACAGAUAAAGAAUGCAAAAUAUGGAUUGUAAGGAAGCUCAAUGAUAUCCAAGAGAAAGUUGAAACUCAACAGAAAGAAACCAGGAAAACCAUUCAGGAUAUGAAAGACAGCUAUAUUAAAACAAACAAACAGAACUUCUGGAAAUGAAAAAAUUUAGUAAAGGAAUUUCAAAAUAUAGUGGAAAGCUUUAGCAAUAGACUAGACCAAGAAGAAGAAAGAAUUUUGGAGCUUGAAGACUGAUCUUUUGAGUUAAUCCAGUCAGAAAAAUAUAAAAGAUAAUUUUAAAAAAGGAACAAAGCCUUCAAGAAAUAUGGGAUUAGGUAGAGCAACCACACCUACAACUUAUAGGCAUUCCUGAGUGAGAAAGAGAAAAAGUAAGCAAUUUGGAAAACAUACUCAAGGGAAUAAUUCAGGAACAUUUCUCUUAUUGCUAGAAAGUUAGACAUCAAGAUACAAGAAAUUCAGAGAAAAACUGUGAGAUUCUAUACAAGAUGAACAUCAACAAGGCACAUAGUCAUGAGACUAUCCAAAUACAGUGCUAAAGAAAAACGCUUGAAGGUAGCUAGAAAGAAGGAUCAAGUCACCUAUAAAGGAAGUCCAAUCAGACUAACAGCAGACUUCUCAGCA
rnacentral:lncRNA from 1 species